rnacentral:rRNA from 1 species
CCUACGGGAGGCAGCAGUGAGGAAUAUUGGUCAAUGGACGGAAGUCUGAACCAGCCAUGCCGCGUGCAGGAAGACGGCUCUAUGAGUUGUAAACUGCUUUUGUACAAGGGUAAACCUGAAUACGUGUAUUCAGCUGAAAGUACUGUACGAAUAAGGAUCGGCUAAUGCCGUGCCAGCAGCCGCGGUAAGCCGGAAGGUCCGUGGGUUAGCCGGAUUUAUUGGGUUUAAAGGGAGCGUAGGCCGGUCUUUAAGCGUGCCGUGAAAUUUUGUGGCUCAACCAUGAGAGUGCGGCGCGAACUGGAGACCUUGAGUGCGCGGAAGGCAGACGGAAUUCGUGGUGUAGCGGUGAAAUGCUUAGAUAGCACGAAGAACCCCGAUUGCGAAGGCAGCCUGCCGCAGCGUUACUGACGCUGAAGCUCGAAAGCGCGGGUAUCGAACAGGAUUAGAUACCCGGGUAGUC